GAUGAACGCUGGCGGCGUGCCUAAUACAUGCAAGUCGAGCGAACAGACGAGGAGCUUGCUCCUCUGACGUUAGCGGCGGACGGGUGAGUAACACGUGGAUAACCUACCUAUAAGACUGGGAUAACUUCGGGAAACCGGAGCUAAUACCGGAUAAUAUAUUGAACCGCAUGGUUCAAUAGUGAAAGACGGUUUUGCUGUCACUUAUAGAUGGAUCCGCGCCGCAUUAGCUAGUUGGUAAGGUAACGGCUUACCAAGGCAACGAUGCGUAGCCGACCUGAGAGGGUGAUCGGCCACACUGGAACGUAGACACGGUCCAGACUCCUACGGGAGGCAGCAGUAGGGAAUCUUGCGCAAUGGGCGAAAGCCUGACGGAGCAACGCCGCGUGAGUGAUGAAGGUCUUCGGAUCGUAAAACUCUGUUAUUAGGGAAGAACAAAUGUGUAAGUAACUAUGCACGUCUUGACGGUACCUAAUCAGAAAGCCACGGCUAACUACGUG
rnacentral:rRNA from 1 species